rfam:Citrobacter rodentium ICC168, complete genome
UUCCUGCGCCUGCUGCGGGCAGAUCCAGUGGAUAUGGGUAUCGACGCCGCCUGCGGUGACGAUCCUGCCUUCCCCGGCGAUCGCUUCCGUUCCGACGCCAAUCGGGAUCGUUACGUCAGGCUGAAUGUCGGGAUUACCGGCUUUGCCGAUGGCGAAGAUCCUGCCGUCUUUAAUGCCGAUAUCCGCUUUAACGAUCCCCCAGUGAUCGACAAUCAGCGCGUUAGUGAUCACCAGAUCCACGCAGGCUUCGGCGCGCAUCUGGCCCUGUCCCAUGCCGUCGCGGAU